GUCGUCUUCCUGGUGCUAGUAUGUGCUCUACUCUUUGUUAUCAGGAAGGGAAUCAACACAAUGCUCUAUAUGUCAACCAAAUCAAGUGAAGCUUUUGAAAGCCCCUUAGCAACAUCUUUCAGCUAUCUUCAAAUUGUGUGUCUUUAUACCAUUGCCAAAACUACCACAUAGCAUAUAACACAAGUGUAACAGGAAAUAGAAAAGCAAACUAACAUUCUGUCAGGUACAAAGCCUUGUUAAAAAAGUUAGAAUUUAGAGUGCCUUAAUGUUCAUGUUCUUUAAGCUAGUGACAGGUUUUGUUUAUUCAUGAAUAAAAUUAUUUAAAUUUCCACUUUUUUUUAACCAAUAAUAACAAAACAGAAAGUUAAUUCGGGGUCUCAGUUGUUAAUUUUGUGUGAACUUAGAAUAGAUGUUACUAAGGAAAUGAGUAAUGAGGAGCUUGUGUAAAUAAAUAAAUAAAUGUCCCAGUAAC